rnacentral:lncRNA from 1 species
UAGGACUACCUUGGCUAAAGUUUUGCUAAAUUGAAACAUGACUGUACACAGCUCCUGAACUAGAGUGGUUAAUCCCAUCUUGACACAUGCACCGACAAGUCAAGUACUUGACUACACCCAGCAUCCUUCCAUCACUGAAUUAGAAAUUCAGGUAGUCUAGUGCUUAAGUGCAGUGAGUUGCUUGCAAGUCAUCGUGGUGGUC